rnacentral:rRNA from 1 species
GCGUGGAGCAUGUGGUUUAAUUCGAAGCAACGCGAAGAACCUUUACCAGGUCUUGACAUCCCGAUGCUAUUCUAGAGAUAGAAGUUACUUGGUACAUCGGUGGACAGGUGGUGCAUGGUUGUCGUCAGCUCGUGUCGUGAGAUGUUGGGUUAAGUCCCGCAACGAGCGCAACCCCUAUUGUUAGUUGCCAUCAUUCAGUUGGGCACUCUAGCGAGACUGCCGGUAAUAAACCGGAGGAAGUGGGGAUGACGUCAAAUCAUCAUGCCCCUUAUGACCUGGGCUACACACGUGCUACAAUGGUUGGUACAACGAGUUGCGAGUCGGUGACGGCGAGCUAAUCUCUUAAAGCCAAUCUCAGUUCGGAUUGUAGGCUGCAACUCGCCUACAUGAAGUCGGAAUCGCUAGUAAUCGCGGAUCAGCACGCCGCGGUGAAUACGUUCCCGGGCCUU